ACUCCUACGGGAGGCAGCAGUGGGGAAUAUUGCACAAUGGGGGGAAAACCCCUGAUGCAGCCAUGCCGCGUGUGUGAAGAAGGCCUUCGGGUUGUAAAGCACUUUCAGUAGGGAGGAAGGUAGUGUAGUUAACACCUGCAUUAUUUGUACGUUACCUACAGAAGAAGCACCGGCUAACUCCGUCGCCAGCAGCCGCGGUAAGUACGGAGGGUGCGAGCGUUAAUCGGAAUUACGUGGGUACGUAAACGCGCAUGCGAGGCGGCCUGUUAAGUCAGAUGUGAAAGCCCGGGGUCGUUAACCUACGGAAUUGUCAUUUGAAACUGGCGAGGCGUACGAGUCGUU
rnacentral:rRNA from 1 species